rnacentral:snoRNA from 1 species
GUGAUGUUAGCUGGUAUUGCUGAAAAGUGAAGAUAGACACCAAAACUGA